GACGAACGCUGGCGGCGUGCUUAACACAUGCAAGUCGAGCGGUAAGGCCCUUUCGGGGGUACGACGAGCGGCGAACGGGUGGAGUAACACGUGGGUGGACCUCGCCCUCCAGCUCUGGGAGUAAGCCUGGGAAACCGGGUCGUAAUACCGGAUAUGACUCCAUGACGCAUGUUGUGGGUGGAAAGACCUUGUGCGGCUGAGGAUGGGCCCGCGGCCUAUCAGCUUGUUGGUGGGGUGAUGG
rnacentral:rRNA from 1 species